rnacentral:misc_RNA from 1 species
GUGAAUCAUCAAAUUUUUGAACGCAAAUUGCACUCUCCUCGAAGCGUAUGCCUGUUUGUGUGCCAGCCUAUAAAAAUCGACCUAGUUGCUGUUUCGCGGUGGUGUUCGUCGGAAAUUGGGUCAUCUUAAAUACUUCUGCUUUAAGCGUCUUAAAAUAUUCUUUUUGUUCUAUGUACGAUU